rnacentral:rRNA from 1 species
GAUGAACGCUGGCGGCGUGCCUAAUACAUGCAAGUCGAGCGAACGGACGAGAAGCUUGCUUCUCUGAUGUUAGCGGCGGACGGGUGAGUAACACGUGGAUAACCUACCUAUAAGACUGGGAUAACGUCGGGAAACCGGAGCUAAUACCGGAUAAUAUUUUGAACCGCAUGGUUCAAAAGUGAAAGACGGUCUUGCUGUCACUUAUAGAUGGAUCCGCGCUGCAUUAGCUAGUUGGUAAGGUAACGGCUUACCAAGGCAACGAUGCAUAGCCGACCUGAGAGGGUGAUCGGCCACACUGGAACUGAGACACGGUCCAGACUCCUACGGGAGGCAGCAGUAGGGAAUCUUCCGCAAUGGGCGAAAGCCUGACGGAGCAACGCCGCGUGAGUGAUGAAGGUCUUCGGAUCGUAAAACUCUGUUAUUAGGGAAGAACAUAUGUGUAAGUAACUGUGCGCAUCUUGACGGUACCUAAUCAGAAAGCCACGGCUAACUACGUG